rnacentral:rRNA from 1 species
AUUGAACGCUGGCGGCAUGCUUUACACAUGCAAGUCGAACGGCAGCGCGGGCUUCGGCCUGGCGGCGAGUGGCGCACGGGUGAGUAAUGCAUCGGAACGUGCCCAGUAGUGGGGGAUAGCCCGGCGAAAGCCGGAUUAAUACCGCAUACGACCUGAGGGUGAAAGCGGGGGACCGAAAGGCCUCGCGCUAUUGGAGCGGCCGAUGUCGGAUUUGCUAGUUGGUGGGGUAAAGGCUUACCAAGGCGACGAUCCGUAGGUGGUCUGAGAGGACGACCAGCCACACUGGGACUGAGACACGGCCCAGACUACUACGGGAGGCAGCAGUGGGGAAUUUUGGACAAUGGGGGCAACCCUGAUCCAGCCAUGCCGCGUGCGGGAAGAAGGCCUUCGGGUUGUAAACCGCUUUUGUUCGGGAAGAAAUCCUCUGGGCUAAUACCCCGGGGGGAUGACGGUACCGGAAGAAUAAGCACCGGCUAACUACGUG